GUGGUAUUCGUCUAGUGGCCUAGGACGCCUGUCUUCCAAACAGGCUACGCGAGUUCAAAUCUCGCAUACCGCAC
rnacentral:tRNA from 1 species